AUUUUCUCAGCCCAAGUUUGCCCAUUUCACCUUCUAUUCUCACUUGGUUCCGCUCCACGGUGCAGCGAUGGAUCGUACUCCAGUGAGAGACAAGAACAAGAGGCAGAGAAGGAGAAGCUCUGUAUCAUCUCAGACCACAGUUCACUCACUCCCUGUAGCACAACAUCCUUUGCGUCAUCUUCUGCUUCCUCGACCUCUUCGACCUCGUCCGAUGCUCUGUCGUCUGCAAAUCCUGGAAUGCGAUUAUGAAUAAGUCCAAGUUGCUGCAACUGGUAUACCACAAGCAGCAGCAGUGAGUCUAGUGGGUUUUUCCAAUAUGUCUAGUAAUUUGGAAGAAUCGCUGAAGUUAUAUUUGGAAUCCAUAGCUGGCUUUGCAAGAUGGUGUUGUUUAUAUUGAUUAUUGAUCAAGGGAGAGACCAUUCUGCUUGGGUGUAUCACUACCGAAUGAAGAUGGGCUUGCUUCUUAGCUGUGUAGGUGAGAAGGUGUUUUCCCGUUGUUUUUUGUUUCAUCUUUGUCUGGCUUCCUUCCAUCUUUCACUCAUCUUUGAACCAGAACGCAGGUGAAAAUUGGUUCUAGCAUUGUCUUGGAAGGCAACAGAACAAGUUUUCAACAGAUCAAAGUUUUCUAGUUGAUAGAUCUUGUGGGUGCUUCCAAUAGGUCUUGUAAUUCUGAGGAACCGCUGAAGUUAUAUUUGGAGGAGGUUGCCAUGGAACAUCAUAGAUUGGCUUUGCAAGAGGAUGUUAUUCAUAUUGAUCAAUGGAGGAGCCAUUUUGCUGGUUAAUAUUCUUGAAUUUUACAUUUUUUUUUUCAAUAUAUAUAUAUAUAGAUCAAGUAAAGAAACAAUGCUAAAGGUGAAAUCUUUAUCAACUUGCUUGUGUCUUCAAUGAUAUUUUCAUAUAUCAUAUUCUAAUUUCAGGUCUCAUAUUAAAGUUUUAUGUUUUGUAUUCUGUUUUCACACCUCAUACAUGAUUAUUAACCAUAUUUAAAGUUACAUAUACAAUAAUGAGUUUGUGGGUGUAUAUAUUUUGGUGUAUCAUUUCAACCUCGUUUGCUGCUUGGUAUCUGUAAAUCCUGGUACUCUUUAUUACCUUUCUUCUCCUCUUGAAAAUUCGAGUCGAUAAUAAAGAUGGGGUUUUCUUAUGGUGGGGAAGGAAUGCGAUAAUGGAUAGGUCUAAAGUUGCUGCAAGUGUUCUUUGGUUUUCUAGAGUCCAUAACACGCAGCUCAAGCCUUGCCUGUUUCCAAUACGACAUCCUUUGCACCAUGUUUUUCCUUCCUCGACCUCAUCCCAUAUGAUUUGUCGUCUGGAAAUCCUGGCAGUGGCAAAUGGGUCUCAUGUGUGUUUCCAAUACAACAGUUCUACUAAUUUGGAGGAAUCGUUGAAGUUGUAUUUCGAUUUUGGAGAAGCUUUCAGUGGAACUUCAUAGAUUAGCUUUGCAAGAGGGUGUUAUUGAUAUUUGUUAAUGGACAGGCUAUUCUGCUGGCUAUUUCCGGAUGACAAUCAACUCAUUCAUUGGUGGAAUAGAUGCUGUGCAAGGAGUUUUUGAACCAGAAUACAGGUGAAGUCGUUUCCAGCAUUGUUUUGGAAUGCAAAAGAUCAAGUUCUGAAGGCACAAAUGGUGCCAUUGGAUGAUCCAAAGGAAGAAGGCUUUCAGAAGAUACCUGCAUUGAUAGCAUUUCCAGAAGUGCUCGAACAUUUUUCACUCUUUCUUGGCUGGUUGGAUGAAGAAAGUUGCCACCAUGCACAAAACAAUGGAAUGCUUUUUACCAAAUGUUGAUGUUCAAUGGUGUGAAGACCAAGUUUGUGAUAUCAUUUCAACGACGCGUUGGAUGCUGCAAAGUGGGACCAUGAGGGAAAAAAAAGAAAAAUGCAAUGUUGAUAUUCCACCGUAAACAUUCUUUAUAUAUAUGUAUAAUGGAUGUCAUACAUUUCCCACAACACUUAUUCGGAUGCCAAAUUGAUCAUAGUCCUUGGAGGAAUAGAUGGUUUGCUAUGCAUUAUGAACCAUAACAGAGGUGAAGUUGUGUCUAGCAUCGCUUUUGAAGGCAACAGAUCAAGUUCUCAACACCUGCAUGAUGCCCUUAAAAGAUACCAAGGAAGAAGGCUCAAGAAGAUACUAAUAUUGACAGCAUUUCCAGAAGUGCUGCAUAAUUAUUACUUCACUGCCGGUUUGAGGAAAGUUUCCACAACACACAAUAUUAGGUAGAUCAAACUGUGGAAAUUCAACAAGCAAUUCAGAUUACACUCUCAAUUUCAAGGAAAUUUGGUCUUAAAUUUAGCCUUGAGAAUUGUAUAAUUUUUAUUGUU